UGCGGGAUGGAGCAGUCUGGUAGCUCGUCGGGCUCAUAACCCGAAGGUCGUAGGUUCAAAUCCUGCUCCCGCAACCA
rnacentral:tRNA from 4 species